GACGAACGCUGGCGGCGUGCCUAAUACAUGCAAGUUGAGCGAUGAAGAUUGGUGCUUGCACCAAUUUGAAGAGCAGCGAACGGGUGAGUAACGCGUGGGGAAUCUGCCUUUGAGCGGGGGACAACAUUUGGAAACGAAUGCUAAUACCGCAUAACAACUUUAAACAUAAGUUUUAAGUUUGAAAGAUGCCAUUGCAUCACUCAAAGAUGAUCCCGCGUUUUAUUAGCUAGUUGGUGAGGUAAAGGCUCACCAAGGCGAUGAUACAUAGCCGACCUGAGAGGGUGAUCGGCCACAAUGGGACUGAGACACGGCCCAAACUCCUACGGGAGGCAGCAGUAGGGAAUCUUCGGCAAUGGACGGAAGUCUGACCGAGCAACGCCGCGGGAGUGAAGAAGGUUUUCGGAUCGUAAAACUCUGUUGGUAGAGAAGAACGUUGGUGAGAGUGGAAAGCUCAUCAAGUGACGGUAACUACCCAGAAAGGGACGGCUAACUACGUG
rnacentral:rRNA from 1 species